UGGCGGCGUGCCUAAUACAUGCAAGUCGAGCGGUAACAGAAAGAAAGCUUGCUUUCUUUGCUGACGAGCGGCGGACGGGUGAGUAAUGCCUGGGAAUAUGCCUUAGUGUGGGGGAUAACUAUUGGGAACGAUAGCUAAUACCGCAUAAUGUCUUCGGACCAAAGAGGGGGACCUUCGGGCCUCUCGCGCUAAGAUUAGCCCAGGUGGGAUUAGCUAGUUGGUGAGGUAAAGGCUCACCAAGGCAACGAUCCCUAGCUGGUCUGAGAGGAUGAUCAGCCACGCUGGAACUGAGACACGGUCCAGACUCCUACGGGAGGCAGCAGUGGGGAAUAUUGCACAAUGGGGGGAACCCUGAUGCAGCCAUGCCGCGUGUAUGAAGAAGGCCUUCGGGUUGUAAAGUACUUUCAGUCGUGAGGAAGGCAUUGUAGUUAAUAGCUGCAGUGCUUGACGUUAGCGACAGAAGAAGCACCGGCUAACUCCGUG
rnacentral:rRNA from 1 species